GUAACUAUUUUUCGUGCACGUUUGAGCCAGGAGUACCUUGUUUCUUAUAUCAGGAUGACCAGGACGACUUUGAUUGGACAAUACAGAAUGAGACCACAAAGUAUGGCCCAGAGAGGUCUUAUGAAGGAUCUUACUUUGCGUUUGUUGACGAUGAACAGUAUAGCCAAGGAAAGUCGACAGUACUUGUUUCCAAUGUAGGAUUUUCAGGUGGUCAAUGGUGUAUUCAGUUGCGAUACUACAUACAAAGUGAAUUGUUAGAUGCAAAGCUAGAGGUUUUCAAAACAGGAGAAGAGAAACCGUUUUUCACCUUUAAUAUAGCUGCCAAUAAAGAAUGGAAAUAUGUAAAGAGAAAUAUUGGCAUGACUUAUGAUG